AGAGUUUGAUCAUGGCUCAGAACAAACGCUGGCGGCGUGCCUAAUACAUGCAAGUCGAACGAGAUCAUGCCUUCGGGUAUGAUCUAGUGGCGUACGGGUGAGUGACGCGUGGAUAAUCUUCCUUAAAGUGGGGAAUAACUAGUCGAAAGAUUAGCUAAUACCGCAUAAGACCACAGGGGCUUCGGUCCUAGGGGUUAAAGUCUUACGACGCUUUAAGAUGAGUCUGCGCCCGAUUAGCUAGUUGGUGAGGUAAAGGCUCACCAAGGCGACGAUCGGUAGCUGGUCUGAGAGGACGGCCAGCCACACUGGGACUGAGACACGGCCCAGACUCCUACGGGAGGCAGCAGUAGGGAAUAUUGCACAAUGGAGGAAACUCUGAUGCAGCGACGCCGCGUGAGUGACGAAGGCCUUCGGGUUGUAAAGCUCUGUUCUCAGGGAAAAAGAAAGUGAUUGUACCUGAGAAGAAAGGACCGGCUAACUUCGUGCCAGCAGCCGCGGUAAGACGAGGGGUCCAAGCGUUGUUCGGAAUUAUUGGGCGUAAAGCGGGUGUAGGUGGCUCUAUAAGUCAGAAGUGAAAGCCCCGAGCUUAACUUGGGAAGUGCUUUUGAUACUGUAGAGCUUGAAUGUGGGAGAGGAUCGUGGAAUUCCAGGUGUAGUGGUGAAAUACGUAGAUAUCUGGAGGAACACCGGUGGCGAAGGCGGCGAUCUGGCCCAACAUUGACACUGAGACCCGAAAGCGUGGGGAUCAAACAGGAUUAGAUACCCUAGUAGUCC
rnacentral:rRNA from 1 species